rnacentral:lncRNA from 1 species
CUACAAUCAACUUAUUUACUUUCAUUUAAUUUCUGAGAUCAUUCAAUACAAUCUUUUACACACUUUGUAUAAUCACAUAUCACACUCUCAUAAUACUAUUUACAGUAUAGCUUACAUACAUACCAUACUAAUAUCAUUCACAAAGUUACUACGGAGCAACUAGAGUUGAUAUAACUUAUCAACAACUUACAAUAUUUAACAACUAUUUACAUUAUUCGCAGGCUUCUUAUUGGAAGAAGGAAAUCAAGAAGCUGAUGGACCUGGAUCACCUCUAUCUGAAAUCACAGACGCUUGAGUAAGUCGUCAACUCAGUGAGAUUAUGGUGUCAUAUCGGUAGCAUGUACAUUGAAAAGUAUCUCAAGGUUCAACAUUUAUAAUAACAUAAGAUGGUAGUACCAUUAUAGCUCAUCAACAGAAAUAUAUCCAUAUAAAAGGAUUCAUAGUAAUCGGAUCAAUAUCACAAGGAAAUAUCAAUAAUAUGAUAGUUAGUCACAUAGAUAGCACUAAAGAAAACAUAUCACUACGUACAUUCCAGUGCUAUCACACAUCACACACUUUAGAGCAGUAACCUCUCCCUUUAAUUACAAAUCUCUAUGUGCACAUAGCCUGAUGGUAUAACCUCCAGCAAAUUGGAAUUCUGUCAUAUUGGCUAAACAAAUGGCUUGGUACAAUCAAAUAAGCCUAGAGACCAAAUAGGUUCUACAAUUUACAAUCUCAAUAUAACAAUUAACAAAUAGUUUCAAAUACCAAUAAUGGUAUGCAUUUGAUCAAAAGUUCCAUUGCAACAAUGAAGAGUUAGACACUAUAACUCGCCUUGAAAGUGAGAAUUUGAUUUCUCUCAAUUACUUAUAAUUUCGAAAUAGUUCCGUGGUAAUCCUCCACCUAUAUUCACAUUUAAACACGUAUUGCACUUUUAGUUUUGUUUCUAGCUCUUUAUUGACAUUCAAGGUUUUUUUAUAUUUUUAUUCAUUAAAUUUGAAUCUAAAAUUUUGGAGACAAAAAUUACACAUAUUAAGCUUGAUGUUCAUCCACUAUAUGCUCAUGUUCAUAGUUUAUUCACUUAUGUUUUAAUAUGCUCAAUUUGGUGCAAGCUUAGUGAAACACAGAAUGUUUUGCACAUGAGCAAUCUUUGUUCAUUUGAUUGAAUAUUUACUUUCUCAUAUCCAUUUGUCUUGAAAUUUUACCAGAUGGUUCCCAACACCUCAGAGUACUCCCAUAUUAAAUUUCAUGAAUUAUGGAGUUUAUUAACCUAUUCAAAUAAUUAAGUUACAGAACCAAAAUUUUCAGCUUUCUCAUACUCUGAGUAGCCUGCAUUCUUUUAUUAAUAUCUCCAUUUUACCUCAUCAUUUGCACUUUCCAUUGUAAUAUAACCUUCUUAACAUCUUAUGCUAUAUCUCUGUAAAAUUUCAUAAUUUUUUAAGUUUAUUUACAUGGUCAAACAGCCUAAACACAGUAGUGAAUUUAUUUAUAGUGCACAGUGAGCAACCUGUAUUCACUUAGUCAUAAAUUAUUUUCCUUUCAUCUUAUAGGCUUGUCCUUUUACCAAAACUUUUCUGAAAUCCCAGCCUAGCUUUCUAUUAAAUUUCAUUAAUUUUGAAGCUCACUUACAUAUUUAAUUUAGCAAAAAAUAGUGGCUGAAUUGAAGCAGCUUCAUUAAGACAAUUUUGGGAAUUAUAGUUUCUAGCUUUUACAUGUUCAAUUUCUUUCUACCCAAAUCAAUUUCUAACAUCUUAAAUGAUUAAUUAACAUGUUUAAAAGAUAAUUUAAGAUUUGAUGAAUUAAAUUGAAGGUUUAGCUUUAGAGACAUAGAAUUAAAAAUCAAAGUGCAGAAUUUGAUUCCUUACCUCCUUUAAUUCCUUUUGUUUUCUCGUCUUUCCUAUCACUUGUUGGUUUAACUCUUUAUUUACAACACUUGUAGACACUUGAAAUCAAGUUUUAAAUGAGCCAUAUCAGGUUGGAGAACAAUAGAAAUGAGAAGGGAAAGAAGGCUACGAUUGUGAAUUUUUUUGGAGGUGGAGAGGUGAGUCUUAUCUCCUAAUACACUUGUCCUCUUUUCUUUUUGCUAAGGAGAUGACUCAUCUAUACAUUUUCC